UGGGCGUGCCUCGGCGUGUCUUCUAUUACAGUAAGCGAGGAUUCAGUACGUGCCUCGGGGCGCACGGCGUGUACCGCGGUCCCAUUUAGAAUGAGUCAGCAGUCGCAGUCUGGUCAGUGACGUCAAAAACCGAGCCUCCACAUGACCAAAAAGAAGCAGUUAUUCCUAAGGUUUGCUAUGAAGUCUUCUUCUACACUCCUCUCUACGCUUCUCAAAUUUGACCCAGUGUACUCCUCAUCAAAACUAUCUGAUACAAAGGCGGCCGUUGAGUUAGCUGAACUUGAAACCACUAAACUAAGCUAGUUUAAACUUGUCCAUUCAUAAGAAGUUCAGUUGGUGCAGUUCAAUUGCACUGAACAGCUAUUGGGUCAAUCGUUGAGUUUGUCAACCAAAUUGUCAAGGUGGCAGCCACAAUGGAUUUCUGGCCUAACUUGCUUUUAAGCCUGGCUUUGAAGACAGACUGACUUUUUAACAAGAUAUUUCUUAAUUGAUUUCUUUCAUAAGUUUGUUCAUUCCCAGACCUAUUU